CAGUCGUACGCUUCUUUUUCCCCGGAGCUUGCUCCACCGGAAAAAGAAGAGUGGCGAACGGGUGAGUAACACGUGGGUAACCUGCCCAUCAGAAGGGGAUAACACUUGGAAACAGGUGCUAAUACCGUAUAACAAUCGAAACCGCAUGGUUUUGAUUUGAAAGGCGCUUUCGGGUGUCGCUGAUGGAUGGACCCGCGGUGCAUUAGCUAGUUGGUGAGGUAACGGCUCACCAAGGCUACGAUGCAUAGCCGACCUGAGAGGGUGAUCGGCCACAUUGGGACUGAGACACGGCCCAAACUCCUACGGGAGGCAGCAGUAGGGAAUCUUCGGCAAUGGACGAAAGUCUGACCGAGCAACGCCGCGUGAGUGAAGAAGGUUUUCGGAUCGUAAAACUCUGUUGUUAGAGAAGAACAAGGAUGAGAGUAACUGUUCAUCCCUUGACGGUAUCUAACCAGAAAGCCACGGCUAACUACGUGCCAGCAGCCGCGGUAAUACGUAGGUGGCAAGCGUUGUCCGGAUUUAUUGGGCGUAAAGCGAGCGCAGGCGGUUUCUUAAGUCUGAUGUGAAAGCCCCCGGCUCAACCGGGGAGGGUCAUUGGAAACUGGGAGACUUGAGUGCAGAAGAGGAGAGUGGAAUUCCAUGUGUAGCGGUGAAAUGCGUAGAUAUAUGGAGGAACACCAGUGGCGAAGGCGGCUCUCUGGUCUGUAACUGACGCUGAGGCUCGAAAGCGUGGGGAGCAAACAGGAUUAGAUACCCUGGUAGUCCACGCCGUAAACGAUGAGUGCUAAGUGUUGGAGGGUUUCCGCCCUUCAGUGCUGCAGCUAACGCAUUAAGCACUCCGCCUGGGGAGUACGACCGCAAGGUUGAAACUCAAAGGAAUUGACGGGGGCCCGCACAAGCGGUGGAGCAUGUGGUUUAAUUCGAAGCAACGCGAAGAACCUUACCAGGUCUUGACAUCCUUUGACCACUCUAGAGAUAGAGCUUCCCCUUCGGGGGCAAAGUGACAGGUGGUGCAUGGUUGUCGUCAGCUCGUGUCGUGAGAUGUUGGGUUAAGUCCCGCAACGAGCGCAACCCUUAUUGUUAGUUGCCAUCAUUCAGUUGGGCACUCUAGCAAGACUGCCGGUGACAAACCGGAGGAAGGUGGGGAUGACGUCAAAUCAUCAUGCCCCUUAUGACCUGGGCUACACACGUGCUACAAUGGGAAGUACAACGAGUCGCGAAGUCGCGAGGCUAAGCUAAUCUCUUAAAGCUUCUCUCAGUUCGGAUUGUAGGCUGCAACUCGCCUACAUGAAGCCGGAAUCGCUAGUAAUCGCGGAUCAGCACGCCGCGGUGAAUACGUUCCCGGGCCUUGUACACACCGCCCGUCACACCACGAGAGUUUGUAACACCCGAAGUCGGUGAG
rnacentral:rRNA from 1 species